rnacentral:lncRNA from 1 species
AUCGGAUCGGGGCUGCUCCCGGCGCUGCGCGGUGUCCGAGGCGCUCAGUACCUUGAGGCUCAUGGAGUUAAAUGAUGAGAAGCGACUGGCCCAGCUGCACAUUGAACACAGAAUUUUGGCCUUCUCAGCACCCUGCUCCAAGUGUCAAGGGAGAAGCAAAUGAGACAAGUCCUGAGGGUUACCUUGCUCCAUGGCCGAUGUUCUUUUGCAGAGCAGCAGGGGGCAUUGCCUGAAGUGUGUCCCAGCUGGCUGGGAGCGCAGGGCAGGAGAAGGCCAGAAACCCCUGGAAGGGAAGCAGCACCUCUUGUCCUUGGGAUAUGCAGGGGAGAAGCUGUGCCUGCACCAUGGCUCCUCAGCCAGGGGCUGCUCUGACCAGGCAUGGGGAGAUGCUUUGGUCUGGACAGAGACCACUGACAGCCCAGAAGCCCAAGGAGCAGCUGGCAUUACCUGGGAAUGGAGGUACAGGCUGCUUGUAGAGCAGCUCAGACAGCAAUUCCUGGUUCAGAGAUCCCACACAGCUGCCAGAUAUUAA